GAUGAACGCUGGCGGCGUGCCUAAUACAUGCAAGUCGAGCGAACGGACGAGAAGUUUGCUUCUCUGAUGUUAGCGGCGGACGGGUGAGUAACAUGUGGAUAAUCUACCUAUAAGACUGGGAUAACUUCGGGAAACCGGAUCUUACACCGGAUAAUAUUUUGAACCGUAAGGUUCAAAAGUGAAAGACGGUCUUGCUGUCACUUAUUGAUGGAUCCCCGCUUCUUUGGCUAGUUGGUAAGGUAACGGCUUACCAAGGCAACGAUGCAUAGCCGACCUGAGAGGGUGUUCGCCCACCCUGGAACUGGGACACGGUCCAGACUCCUGCGGGAGGCAGCAGAAGGGAAUCUCCCGCAAUGGGCGAAAGCCUGACGGAGCACGGCCGCGUGAGUGAUGAAGGUCUUGGGUUCGUAAAACUCUGUUAUUGGGGAAGAACAUUUGUGUAAGGAAAUGUGCACAUCGUGACGGUACCUUAUCAGAAAGCCACGGCUAACUACGUG
rnacentral:rRNA from 1 species